CCUUCGGGGUACACGAGCGGCGAACGGGUGAGUAACACGUGAGCAACCUGCCCCUGACUCCGGGAUAAGCGGUGGAAACGCCGUCUAAUACCGGAUACGACCCGCCACCUCAUGGUGGAGGGUGGAAAGUUUUAUCGGUCAGGGAUGGGCUCGCGGCCUAUCAGCUUGUUGGUGGGGUAACGGCCUACCAAGGCGAUUACGGGUAGCCGGCCUGAGAGGGCGACCGGCCACACUGGGACUGAGACACGGCCCAGACUCCUGCGGGAGGCAGCAGUGGGGAAUAUUGCACAAUGGGCGAAAGCCUGAUGCAGCGACGCCGCGUGGGGGAUGACGGCCUUCGGGUUGUAAACCUCUUUUACCACCAACGCAGGCUCCACGUUCUCGUGGGGUUGACGGUAGGUGGGGAAUAAGGACCGGCUAACUACGUGCCAGCAGCCGCGGUAAUACGUAGGGUCCGAGCGUUGUCCGGAAUUAUUGGGCGUAAAGAGCUCGUAGGCGGCAUGUCGCGUCUGCUGUGAAAGACCGGGGCUUAACUCCGGUUCUGCAGUGGAUACGGGCAUGCUAGAGGUAGGUAGGGGAAACUGGAAUUCCUGGUGUAGCGGUGAAAUGCGCAGAUAUCAGGAGGAACACCGGUGGCGAAGGCGGGUUUCUGGGCCUUACCUGACGCUGAGGAGCGAAAGCAUGGGGAGCGAACAGGAUUAGAUACCCUGGUAGUCCAUGCCGUAAACGUUGGGCGCUAGGUGUGGGGACUUUCCAC
rnacentral:rRNA from 1 species